rnacentral:misc_RNA from 1 species
UUACAAUCUUCGACGACCCAAGCGGUAAGUUCUCAAUUCCAAUGUUUAAUUAUUGACUUAGCCAUGGGUACCGUAAAUUCUUAAGGGGCAAUUUAUGUAACAUUGGCCUGACUGAAGCAUGAUAGCAUGGGUGCUGCAUCUUGUUUUAAACUUUUUAGAACUUUAAAACGUUAAUACUUGGCGUGUCCAUGCAACAUUUGUUCUUCACAAGUUAUUUAACAUUGUCUAUUAUUUCUGGCAAUUAACACAUGAAUUUGUCUUAUGUAACCAGUGGAG